UUGGAGGGCAAGUCUGGUGCCAGCAGCCGCGGUAAUUCCAGCUCCAAUAGCGUAUAUUAAAGUUGUUGCAGUUAAAAAGCUCGUAGUUGAAUUUCGGGAUCAGAUUGUCGGUCGUGCCUCGGUACGCACUGGCAUUAUUGGUUCCUACCUUCUGAAGAACCGCGAUGUCAUUAAUUUGGUGUCGUGGGGAAUCAGGACUGUUACUUUGAAAAAAUUAGAGUGUUUAAAGCAGGCGCACGCUUGAAUACAUUAGCAUGGAAUAAUGAAAUAGGACGUUUGAUUCUAUUUUGUUGGUUUCUAGGAUCGACGUAAUGAUUAAUAGGGAUAGUUGGGGGCAUUAGUAUUCAAUUGUCAGAGGUGAAAUUCUUGGAUUUAUUGAAGACUAACUACUGCGAAAGCAUUUGCCAAGGAUGUUUUCAUUAAUCAAGAACGAAAGUUAGAGGAUCGAAGACGAUCAGAUACCGUCGUAGUCUUAACCAUAAACUAUGCCGACUAGGGAUCGGAUGAUGUUAAUUUUUUAAUGACUCAUUCGGCGCCUUACGGGAAAC
rnacentral:rRNA from 1 species